rnacentral:rRNA from 1 species
CCUACGGGUGGCAGCAGUGGGGGAUAUUGCACAAUGGAGGAAACUCUGAUGCAGCGACGCCGCGUGAGGGAAGACGGUCUUCGGAUUGUAAACCUCUGUCUUUGGGGAAGAAAAUGACGGUACCCAAAGAGGAAGCUCCGGCUAACUACGUGCCAGCAGACGCGGUAACACGUAGGGAGCGGGCGUUGUCCGGAAGUACGGGGUGUAAGGGGAGCGUAGGAGGGCGAGAAAGUUGGAUGUUAAAUCUACGGGCUAAACUGGUAGCUGCGUUCAAAACUUCUUGUCUUGAGUGAAGUAGAGGCAGGCGGAAUUCCUAGUGUAGCGGUGAAAUGCGUAGAUAUUAGGAGGAACCCCGAUGGCGAAGGCGGCCUGCUGGGCUUUAACUGACGCUGAGGCUCGAAAGCGUGGGGAGCAAACAGGAUUAGAUACCCGUGUAGUC